rnacentral:tRNA from 1 species
AGUCCCGUGGUGUAGGGGUCAAGCAUGCGGGCCUUUGGAGCCCGCGACGGCGGUUCGAAUCCGCCCGGGACUA